CGUAGUGAUUCGAAGAUUGACGGGGAAGUACGUAAUGUCAUUUACGGGAAGACAAUUUGAUGUUUGUAUCAUUCAUCUGUAAUGUGAAAUAGGAGAGUUGAAAUGAAAAUGAUUUUUAGGGUUUGAUUGUUACAUAAUAUUUCCUCAUUUAUUCUGCGACUUUGGGUUUGUGUUGGUGGAAGAACUGAUGAAUUGACCGAUUGGUUUAAUGGGGAUUGGAAUAGUGGGGAGAUGACGGGGAAGAAGCUGAGGUUAUGGACAGCUUUGACUAUCCCGGAGGUUGACGAAGGCCGCGCCGCAAGGUGGACUCCCUCCGCCGAGAUCGUCAUUGGUCACGGAUAAGAACAUUGCAACGAGGGCUGUAUAGACCAGACAAGACGAUUGUUUGGAAGAUCAUGAUUAGUGCCCCAGGGUUCCCUGUUCUGGUGGUGGUGUUGAUGGUGAAUUUGCUCUAAUGCUGCAUACUGAGUCAGGAGCCGCAAACCAAGAGGGAAGCUACAGGAUCAUCAAACCUCACAAAAGUCCUAGGAGUGGUGUAACAUCUUGCCAGUCUGGGAUUUUGGCAGCUACAGUGGCACCGGCUAGCACUGGAAAUAUGUGAUCUGCUACCCCGUUCAUGGCCCAGCUUGGUGACAUGUCUUCUCUGCUUGUCAACCCUUCUCCACAUCGAAUUCUUCAUGUUGGGUGAGUGGCUUACAUGUCUACUGCAAGGAUAUAAAGCGAAGCGUCAUUUCCUUGUCUGUAACACCUAACUAGGAUGAAGAUGCCAUGGCGACCACAGAACAGAGAAAGCACAAACUGCUGAAAGAUCAAUGUCUCAGUCCUUUCCUGGUGUCUCUCUUCUCUGGCUUGGUUGUCCACUGGCACCAACUUUGUUGUGUGGGAAAUCAUUCACGGGACUGCGUGCUGUUGCUGUCAUGGUUGUUGUUCCUUCUUCCUCUUGGUACUGAUGGCCGCAGAUGGCUCUCGAGGUCACUCUGCCCAUGACCAUUUAGCUUUUCUGGAAAAAAAAAGGGGCAGAGUUCUAUUGUUUCUGUGCUGUCCUCAAUGCAGCAAAAACUCAUCAUGUAUUAUUGAUCCUGAUCAUGAACAUAUCAUGUUGUUGGAAGCUGAGAAAUCAAUCAUAA